rnacentral:rRNA from 1 species
UACGGGGGGGGCAAGCGUUGUUCGGAAUUACUGGGCGUAAAGGGCUCGUAGGCGGCCAACUAAGUCAGAUGUGAAAUCCCCAGGCUCAACCUGGGAACUGCAUCUGAUACUGGAUGGCUUGAAUUCGGGAGAGGGAUGCAGAAUUCCAGGUGUAGCGGUGAAAUGCGUAGAUAUCUGGAGGAAUACCGGUGGCGAAGGCGGCAUCCUGGACCGACAUUGACGCUGAGGAGCGAAAGCGUGGGGAGCAAACAGG